rnacentral:rRNA from 1 species
AACGAACGCUGGCGGCGUGCUUAACACAUGCAAGUCGAACGGAAAGGCCCUGCUUUUGUGGGGUUCUCGAGUGGCGAACGGGUGAGUAACACGUGAGUAACCUGCCCUUGACUUUGGGAUAACUUCAGGAAACUGGGGCUAAUACCGGAUAGGAGCUCCUGCUGCAUGGUGGGGGUUGGAAAGUUUCGGCGGUUGGGGAUGGACUCUCGGCUUAUCAGCUUUUUGGUGGGGUAGUGUCUUACCAAGUCAUUGACGGGUAGCCGGCCUGAGAGGGUGAACUGCAAUAUUGGGACUGAGACACGCCCCAGCCUCCUCCGCGCGGCAGCAGUGGGGAAUACUGCCCCAUGGGCCGGAGUAUGAUGCAGCACAGCCGCGUGCGAGAUGACGGCCCUAGUGUUGUAAACCGUUUUAGACACUGACGAAGAGCGUGUGGGGCUGACGGGUCAAGAAGCCCAGACCCAAUCCGUG